CAGCUUUUCUAAAGGAGUUCUUUGUGCUACAAAAAGGACUUAAACACACUUGAACCCUGCACAGACAGUGUGAAGCUGAUGCUUUUCAAACGUUCAAUAUGACUGCGACUCCUUUUCACUGAUAACAGAAAUAAUGGCGGUUCAUGGCAGAUGCGGUGCAUAGAUGCAGUCACAUUAUUGAUACUGAGUGUUGCUGACACAAUGCUCGUCUCUGCUGGAAGCUGACACUGUUUUCAUUAACGAUUCAUCUGCCAAGUCUCUGGUUGAUUUAUUGUUUCACCUGUGAAAUGUUAGAAAUAGUGAAAAAUCUGUUAAUAUGUUCGUCCAGCUAACUAAGCCAAAUAAGGCCUUAAAAUGUCACAUGUGAUAAAUAAAAUCAGCUGAGAAAGGUA